AAUCCUUGAAAAAGAAGAUCAAGACAGCUUCAAAGAAGCUUUCUUGAUGGAGGGGAGCGGCAGACGGGUGAGUAACGCGUGGGAAUCUACCCAACCCUACGGAAUAGCUCCGGGAAACUGGAAUUAAUACCGUAUACGCCCUUAGGGGGAAAGAUUUAUCGGGGAUGGAUGAGCCCGCGUUGGAUUAGCUAGUUGGUGGGGUAAAGGCCUACCAAGGCGACGAUCCAUAGCUGGUCUGAGAGGAUGAUCAGCCACAUUGGGACUGAGACACGGCCCAAACUCCUACGGGAGGCAGCAGUGGGGAAUAUUGGACAAUGGGCGCAAGCCUGAUCCAGCCAUGCCGCGUGAGUGAUGAAGGCCUUAGGGUUGUAAAGCUCUUUCACCGGAGAAGAUAAUGACGGUAUCCGGAGAAGAAGCCCCGGCUAACUUCGUGCCAGCAGCCGCCGUAAAAC
rnacentral:rRNA from 1 species